rnacentral:rRNA from 1 species
GACGAACCGUGCGAACGUUGUUCGGAAUCACUGGGCUUAAAGGGCGCGUAGGCGGGACGGCACGUCGGUCGCUGAAAGCCCCCGGCUCAACUGGGGAGGGUCACGCGAUACUGAUCGACUCGAAGGCAGGAGAGGGUAGUGGAAUUCCCGGUGUAGUGGUGAAAUGCGUAGAUAUCGGGAGGAACACCAGUGGCGAAGGCGACUACCUGGCCUGUUCUUGACGCUGAGGCGCGAAAGCUAGGGGAGCAAACGGG